rnacentral:tRNA from 1 species
GUGGCGGGUAGCUCAAUUGGUUAGAGCGCCAUCCUUGCCUUGACGGGCCGAUAUGUCGAGGGUUAUCAAUAGAAUUAAAAAUCCUUGACAUACUUCCGGAGGCUGCGGGUUCGAGUCCCGUUCCGCUACACCA